AUUGAACGCUGGCGGCAGGCCUAACACAUGCAAGUCGAACGAGUGGCGGACGGGUGAGUAAUGUAUGGGAAACUGCCUGAUGGAGGGGGAUAACUACUGGAAACGGUAGCUAAUACCGCAUACCAUCAGAUGUGCCCCGAUGGGAUUAGCUCGUUGGUGGGGUAACGGCUCACCAAGGCGACGAUCCCUAGCUGGUCUGAGAGGAUGACCAGCCACAGUGGAACUGAGACACGGUCCAGACGCCUACGUGAGGCAUAAGUGGGGAACAUUUCACAAUUGGCGCAAGCCUGAUGCUGCCAUGCCGCGUGUAUGAAGAAGGCCUUCGGGUUGUAAAGUACUUUCAGCGGGGAGGCGUUACCCGCAGAAGAAGCCCCGGCUAACUCCGUGCCAGCAGCCGCGGUAAUUC
rnacentral:rRNA from 1 species